AGGAAAUAUAAUAUACAUAUAAAUAAUUGCUUAUAGGAAUCAGCAAUACUCUUAUUGGCUAUAGGGCAAUAAAUCAAGAGAGUUGACAGACUUCCAUCCGAUGUUCCAUCUCAUUCGUUCUCUCGACUUCUCUCUCUAACGCGACGUCCAUGGAUAUUAGGUCUAUGU